rnacentral:rRNA from 1 species
UACGGUGGCGAUGGCAAGAAGGAUACACCUGUUCCCAUGCCGAACACAGAAGUUAAGCUUCUUAACGCCG